AGGCUGCAACUCGCCUGCACGAAGUCGGAAUUGCUAGUAAUCGUAGGUCAGCAUACUACGGUGAAUACGUUCCCGGGCCUUGUACACACCGCCCGUCAAACCAUGAGAGUUGGCAACACCCGAAGUCGGUAGUCUAACCGCAAGGAGGACGCCGCCGAAGGUGGGGUCGAUGAUUAGGGUUAAGUCGUAACAAGGUACC
rnacentral:rRNA from 1 species